CAUUGUUGUCAGGGGAUGGAAGAUACAUAACACAGCAAAAAAUAAAUCGUUUGUGUGUGUGGCAAAAACACCCGAGUAGAAACAUGAAUGGUUUGAAGCUAUUUUGAAAGAAAGAGAAUGGCAAAAGGGCUUAAAAUUAGGAAUGGAGCAAGACACCUGGGUAACAAUCUCUGAAUAGGGCGAGAAACUCUACAAGAUGAUGUGCAAACAAGGGAAUCUGACCAAAGACAGAAAAAGAAAACUGACCACAUUCCCUAAAUGCUUCCUUGGAAGUGAAUUUGUGUCAUGGCUUUUGGAAAUUGGAGACAUUACAGGCCUGAGGAAGGUGUACACUUAGGACAAGCAUUAUGAGAAAAUGGAAUCAUCCAC